CCAAGAGGAAAAUUAAAAGCUGAUGUUAUGAGAUUUUAAGACCAGUACAGGACAUUCACUAAGAAACUACUUUUAUUUCAUCUGAUCGAAUGCACCUAUUUCCACAUCUACACUCCAUCAGCUGAUUAUUUGUAUUUGCCUCGCUUUAUGAGCUUCAAAUCACUUGUGCCUUGUACCGCAGAGUUUGCAACGUCACAAAUAAAUGGGGCCAAUCUUCAGUCAGAUGUGAAUGUGUAAUCUAACAUUUU